GCAUCUGUGGUCCAGAGGUAUGAUUAUCGCCUGCCACGCGGUAGACCCGGGUUCGAUUCCCGGCGGAUGCA
rnacentral:tRNA from 29 species